CUCCUCCUCCCGCAGCCGGCGGGCGGGCAUGGGGCGCGGCGGGCGGCGCUGAGCGCUCCGGGCGCUCCCGCUCCCCUUUGUUCGCGGCGCUGAUGGCGGCCGGGCCGGGCAGCGGCCCCGGGGCGCCCAGCGAGGCGGAGGCGGCUCACCUCUGCCGCAGCCUGGAGGUGGGCACCGUCAUGACCCUCUUUUAUUCUAAAAAGUCGCAGCGACCCGAGCGGAAAACUUUCCAGGUGAAGCUGGAAACGCGGCAGGUCACCUGGAGCCGCGGGUCCGAGAAGAUCGAGGGAGCCGUGGAUAUUCGUGAAAUCAAAGAAAUUCGUCCAGGAAAAAAUUCACGUGACUUUGACCGGUACCAGGAGGAUCCAUGUUUCCGACUGGACCAGUCUCACUGCUUCGUUGUCCUCUAUGGCACGGAAUUCAGGCUCAAGACCCUCAGCUUGCAAGCCACGUCCGAGGACGAGGUCAACAUGUGGAUCAAGGGGCUGAACUGGCUGGUGGCAGACACUCUAAGGGCUGCCACCCCCCUGCAGAUUGAAAGGUGGCUCCGGAAACAGUUCUACUCGCUGGAUCGCAACCGUGAGGACAGGAUCUCCACCAAGGAUCUGAAGAACAUGCUGUCUCAGGUCAACUACCGGGUCCCCAACAUGAGGUUCCUGCGGGAGAGACUCACGGAUGUGGAGCAGAGGAAUGGGGAUAUCACGUACGGGCAGUUUGCACAGCUCUACCGCAGCCUGAUGUUCAGUGCCCAGAAAAUGAUGGAUGUCCCGUUCCUAGAAAGGUGUGGAGAAAGGUCUGAGCACUUCAGGGUGUCGCUGCUGGAGUUGCAGAAGUUCUUGCUGGAGUACCAGAGGGAGCUCUGGGCUACAGAUACCCUUCAGGUACAGGAAUUCAUGUUCAACUUUCUGAGGGACCCUUUGAGGGAGAUUGAUGAGCCUUAUUUCUCCUUGGACGAAUUUCUCACCUUCCUGUUUUCCAAAGAGAAUAGUAUCUGGAACUCGCAGCUGGACACAGUGUGUCUGGAGAACAUGAACAACCCCCUCUCCCAUUACUGGAUCUCCUCCUCACACAACACAUACCUGACGGGGGAUCAGUUCUCAAGCGAGUCCUCGCUGGAGGCGUACGCCCGCUGCUUGCGCAUGGGAUGCCGCUGCAUCGAACUGGAUUGCUGGGAUGGUCCCGAUGGCAUGCCGGUCAUCUACCAUGGACACACCUUAACCACCAAGAUCAAGUUCUCUGAUGUCUUGGUCACCAUCAAGGAGCAUGCCUUUGUCACCUCUGAUUUCCCCGUCAUUCUCUCCAUUGAGGACCACUGCAGCAUUGCUCAGCAGAGGAACAUGGCGCAGAAUUUCAAGAAGGUCUUUGGGGACAUGCUCUUGACCAAACCAGUAGAUAUUUCUGCUGAUGGCCUUCCCUCUCCAAACCAGCUCAGGAGGAAGAUUCUCAUCAAGCACAAGAAGCUGGCCGAGGGCAGCGCUUACGAGGAGUUACCCACCUCCGUGAUGUAUUCAGAGAAUGACAUCAGCAACUCCAUCAAGAACGGGAUCCUCUACUUGGAAGACCCCAUCAAUCACGAGUGGAACCCGCAUUACUUUGUCCUGACAAGCAGCAAGAUCUAUUACUCUGGGGAGACAACCAGUGACCAAGGAAAUGAGGAUGAAGAAGAGCAAAAAGAGGUGAGCAACAGCACGGAGCUUCACUCCACGGAGAAGUGGUUUCACGGGAAGCUGGGAGCAGGACGCGAUGGGCGGCACAUUGCAGAGCGGCUACUGACAGAGUACUGCAUUGAGACGGGGGCCCCCGAUGGCUCCUUCCUCGUCAGGGAGAGCGAGACCUUCGUUGGGGACUACACCCUCUCCUUCUGGCGCAACGGGAAGGUGCAGCACUGCCGGAUCCACUCGCGGCAGGAUGCCGGCAGCCCCAAGUUCUUCCUGACAGACAACCUGGUGUUUGACAGCCUCUACGACCUCAUCACCCACUACCAGGAGGUACCGCUGAGGUGCAACGAGUUUGAGAUGAGGCUGACAGAGCCGGUGCCACAAACCAAUGCUCAUGAGAGCAAAGAGUGGUACCACGCCAACCUCACCCGGGCCCAAGCCGAGCACAUGCUGAUGCGGGUGCCACGUGACGGAGCCUUCCUGGUGCGCAAGAGGAGCGAGCCCAGCUCUUACGCCAUCUCCUUCAGGGCGGAAGGGAAGAUCAAACACUGCCGGGUGCAGCAGGAGGGCCAGACCGUGCUGCUUGGCAACUCUGAGUUUGAGAGCCUGGUGGACUUGAUCAGCUACUAUGAGAAGCACCCACUGUACCGCAAGAUGAAGCUGAGGUACCCCAUCAACGAGGAGACGCUGGAGAAGAUCGGGACAGCGGAGCCGGACUACGGAGCCCUUUACGAGGGACGUCAUCCCGGGUUCUACGUGGAAGCCAACCCCAUGCCUACCUUCAAGUGCGCAGUCAAAGCCUUGUUUGACUACAAGGCGCAGCGGGAGGACGAGCUCACCUUCACCAAAAAUGCCAUCAUCCAGAAUGUGGAGAAGCAGGAAGGCGGCUGGUGGAGAGGAGAUUAUGGUGGCAAGAAGCAGCUGUGGUUCCCUUCCAACUACGUAGAGGAGAUUACGAGUCCCGGCAGCCUGGAGCCGGAGCAGGAGCAGCAGCUGGAUGAGAACAGCCCCCUGGGAGACCUUCUUGGUGGUGUCCUGGAUGUGCCCUCCUGCCAGAUUGCCAUCCGCCCUGAGGGAAAGAACAACCGCCUCUUCGUCUUCUCCAUUAGCAUGGCCUCGGUGUCGCGCUUGUCCCUCGAUGUGGCAGCCGAUACACACGAGGACUUGCUGGACUGGGUGAAGAAGAUCCGGGAGGCAGCCCAGACAGCUGAUGCACGGCUCUCUGAAGGGAAGAUGAUGGAGAGGAGGAAGAAGAUUGCCCUGGAGCUUUCGGAGCUGGUGGUCUAUUGCCGCCCUGUGCCCUUCGAUGAAGAGAAGAUUGGCACAGAGAGGGCCUGUUACCGAGAUAUGUCCUCCUUCCCCGAGACCAAGGCAGAAAAGUAUGUCAACAAGAUCAAAGGCAAGAAGUUCCUGCAGUACAACCGCCUACAGCUCUCCCGCAUCUACCCCAAGGGCCAGCGCCUCGACUCCUCCAACUACGACCCGCUGCCCAUGUGGAUCUGCGGCAGCCAGCUGGUGGCACUCAACUUCCAGACCCCAGGACAAGGGGCCUCCUCCCUCCAUCUCCUGCCUGUGCUCUCCAGACAAGCCCAUGCAGAUGAACCAGGCCUUGUUCAUGUCCAACGGCCAGUGUGGGUACGUCUUGCAGCCGACCAACAUGCGGGAUGAGAUCUUCGACCCCUUCGACAAGAGCACGCUGCGGGGGCUUGAGCCGCUCUCCAUCUCCAUUGAGGUCCUGGGGGCUCGGCACCUUCCCAAAAACGGAAGGGGAAUCGUUUGUCCUUUUGUGGAGGUGGAGGUGUCUGGUGCUGAGUAUGACAACGCCAAGCAGAAAACUGAGAUUGUGGCGGACAAUGGCCUGAAUCCUCUCUGGACCCCGAAGCAGUUCCACUUUCAGGUCAGCAACCCCGACUUUGCCUUCCUCCGCUUCGUGGUGUAUGAGGAGGACAUGUUCAGCGACGAGAACUUCUUGGCUCAGGCCACCUUCCUGGUGAAAGGCUUGAAGACAGGUUUCCGAUCUGUACCCCUGAAAAACAACUACAGCGAGAACCUGGAGCUGGCUUCCCUGCUCGUUAAGAUCGACAUUUUCCCUUGCAAGCAGGAGAAUGGUGAAAUAAACCUCUUCAGUGCUUCAGCCCUUCGGGAGCGAGCAGGGGAUGCUUCCAGUCAGCUGCUGGCGAGCAGAGGCAGAGAGGGCUCCUUCGAGUUGCGGUACCAGCAGCCCUUUGAGGAGUUCCGUGUGUCACAGGAGCAGCUUGCUGACCACUUCGAGAGCCGGGAGCGAAGGGUACUGCGGAGGACCCGGAUCAACGGGGACAACCGGCUGUAGCCCAUCUCGGCGGGCGAAAGCACCUGCAAGUGCUUGUGAAUCUCACGGCACGCUGUGAACUGGUUUCUAUGGAAACGGCACUGCUAUGGCCUACUUUCAGGCAGCUUUUCCAGUUUCUCCGCUGAAGGGUGUUCAAGUGGAGAACUAAAAAGAAAAAAUUGGAAAAAAAAAAAAAAACUAAACACACACAAGACCCCUAACCCCCCAAACACCCACCAACCUUCACCACCAAGCCCUUAACGAAGCGCAUCCGUGCGUACAGCCUGCCAGCCGCCGAGGUGAGAGACAAAACUGUCUAUAAUGGCAAGGAAAGAGACCAAAAAAAGUAAAGGAAACCCAGCCAGCCCUCUGCCACCGCUGCUCUGCCUGUAUUCCCGGACAUCCCGCGCAGCUGCCGAGGCCCUUUGCAGCCAUCCUUCCAUCCUUCGCUGGACCGGUCCCAGCACACCGGGCACGGGGGGACUCGAGUGACCAAGGCGGCACUUAUCUCUAUCUUGGCGGCAUCGCAUCUACCUGUGUAGCCACUGCCGAUGGGUCCAGUAGUGAAACUCGACGUUUACAAGGCCGCUCUAGCUUUAAACGACAAUAAAAGUGUCAGUAUUACA